rnacentral:RNase_P_RNA from 1 species
CAGGCUGACCGGGUGAUCGCUCCCUGCUCCGGCAGGGGGAGGAAAGUCCGCCCUCCACAGGGCACGGUGCUGGCUAACGGCCAGGCGGGGCAACCCGACGGCAAGUGCAACAGAGAGGUAAAUUGCCCAGCAAUGGGCGAGGGUGAAACGGUGGUGUAAGAGACCACCGGCGCGGGCAGUGAUGCCGGCGGCCGGGCAAACCCCACCGGGAGCAAGGCCAAGCAGGCGCAUUGGGGCGGCCCGUCCCGCAAAAAGCGCCGGGUGUGCUGCUUGACUCCAUCCGGUAACGGGUGGAGCAGAUAGAUGAUCAUCCACGACAGAAGGCGGCUUAUAGGUCGGCCUGAGCA